CACUAAUGAAGAAAAACCUUUUGUUGGAUCCACAGCUGCUCUUCCCUGGACUGCUGCUGGUGGGCCUGAAAGCACAGGGGACAUUUGAUCAAGUACAGGAAGAGUUACGGUUUAACCUUUUAUGAUCCACCUACUUAGUCCGUUGUCAAAUAAAGAUUGAGACAGGUUCAACAUCUGUCUCUCCAGUUCCUCAUCCUCCUCCAUUAAACCAUACAUUCAUUGUGUUUUAGGUACAUUAAAAGAUCAUGAAGUCAGUAUUUGAAUAUUGUUGUGAACUGACCUAGAGUGCCUGAUGUUGGGGUGGAGGCAGUAGAUGUGGUGGAGGCAGUAGAUGUGAUGGAGCCUUCUGCAGGUGUUGGACAGGAGUCAGCCCUUUCCUGCUUGAGGAUGUACUGCUGCAGGUUGUACAUCUUGCUGUUUUUGAUGCACUUUUGGCGUGAGAUGUAGGCAGCAUAACCAUCUGCCCUGCUCUCCCAGAUCUGCCUCCAGGUGGUUUUGGCCCUGCGACCAAAGCCGACAAUAUUGUCCCCCUCUGACGCCACUGGUUCAGUAGGCGUCCUGGAGAUCAGGUAGUUCCUCAGGUCCUGUAUUUCCUGGAAGCUCCUGGCAUAGUCCAGAAAAGACAGCAGGCUGUCCUUACUGUGUCCCUGUGGGUUGAAGGUCCCGGCUCUCUCCUCAUCGUCUACCUUUUUCAUCAGGUAGAUGGUGUAGCCAACAUCGUUCUCUAGGAGCCACUUGAACGAUUUUCCCUGGUACUUGCCGAACUGCAGCAGGUACUCUCCCAUCACCUCCUGUCGGUCCGACACAUCCCCUCCUCGCUGGAUGACCACAGUGCGAGCGCUGGUCUUCACUAGCUCAUGUUUCUCAGCGGGACUAUUGACCUGAAGCCCAGGAUUAUGUUUUAUCCUCAUGGCCUCAGAGGAUGGGUCCUGCCGCAGAUGACCCGAUGGUCCCUUCCUAAAUGUCACCGUCAUCUUUCCGGGGAAGAAGCUGAUGGGAUUCAUGAUUUCUUUUCACUGCAAAAAAUAAUUCAUAUUACAUAGUUGUAUAUGAUUAUACAGUAAGAGUAGCUAGUAUAAGAUAUAUUGUAAUGUAGUAAUAAUUAAAGCUAAAUAAUAAUACUGUUAUAUUAACAGCAUUAUUCAUAUCAACAUUAAUGAGCAUUUGUAAUGAGUCUAGUGGGUUUAACCCACGUAAAUUCAGUUUCC
ensembl:lncRNA